CACAAGAAGGACAUAGCUCAUUCAUCAUAGAGAGAUGAUCCAUGGAGGGUGCCACAAACACGACGCACAACCGCUAAGAAAGGAAAGCUUCCACAAGAUGAUACUGUACCAUCACUCUUCGAGCAAGGUAACAUCUUAAGGUACUUGACUAUCACUUUUAUAAGCUUCUCCUUGGUUCUGGCGUUCAUAUAAAUAAAAGAGACAAACGUGUAUGAUUUACAACUCUAGAUUAACCAACCCAACUGAUUCAACAUGUUUAGUCCUUUAAUCCUUGUUCUUAGUACUACCUCCAUGAUCCCACACUCCUAAUCAUAUGAGCUAAAAUGUUACACAUUCAAUCAUUAAGAGAUAUAAAGAAAAAGACAUAUACCUAGAUAGAUUAUCUUUCCAUAAGGUUGAGCGAUCUGAUCUGACAAAUGUUAUAAGUGCUACACUCAUGAACUUAUCAUCCAUUAACUUGUCUUGCUCACUAUGCUUAAGGUUAGAGAAGAACAAAUACACUUUUGGUUCUGUUGGUGUUUUCCACCAACAGGGCCCAUGCACUUGAUCUCUUCCUUGUCUCUAUGAGCAGGUACACUACGAGCACAAACACACUGAGCAAGAUACUGCUAACACCGCACUUCAAACUGCUGGGCAAACGAAGAACAUGGGUGACACCGUAUUAAAAGGUGCAGACGUCAAGGUCCGCACUUGAAUCAAAUGACGCACCUGAAGAAUGAACACGAUGAGAAGUCUUGACAAGAAGACUUAAAACAUUGAACCCUCGCCGAAAGGUAAGAUUGGUAGUUAUCCAUAUUUAUCCUUUCUGCAUUCCCUUUUCCAUUUAAUUAUUUACUUUCUUUAAAUAGAUUAUUAGUUAAUCAUGCUAUCUUGAAAAGAAAAUAAAAAUGUUAAAAAAUACUAAGCCCCAUGUGAGUAUACGAGUGGCAUAAAACCCAUAAGUACCUUCACUGUGGUGGCAUAAAAAUAAAAUAAAUAUUUCUUUUCUACUUUAUAAAAUAAAAAUAUAAAAACAGGGAGUAAUAUUUAUUGAGGAAGCUCAACGUGAUGAAGGCUAGAUAUUUGUGCUAACACUUAAUUAGUUCAACAAGCUUUGUUGUCUAUUUGAGCUCCACAGAAUUUAAGAAUCAAACUAGCAGACGGAGGACAUUCUAAUCACUGUCAGAAUGCUGCUGACUUUCAAAUACACCUCUGCCACCUGCUAGCUACAUCAAGAGAAAUUACGUCAAAAUUCAGCUUGGGGGAGAGCACCCCCAUUUAUCUCGCUAAGUAUUUCUACCUAUCUUUAUACUUAUAUUAUAUUAGAAUAUUAAAAUACAUAAACUAUGAAAAACCAAAUAAAGAUUUUGUGCUUAUAUAUAUAUCUUUUGCUUAGUGUGUUUAAUAAAUAAAUAAAGUGGCUAUGCUAAUCUGAAUCUUAAUAAUAAAACCCUAGCAUGGAUAUGAUGAAUAGUUGCUCUGCCUAAUUUGCAAAUUUAAAGUUCUCUCUCAAGUUUAGACAUAACUGUUAUAAUUUAAAGCUUGCUCUAGAUCUAAACUUGUGGGAUGAAAACUUGAUCUGAAAUCUAAGUUGUUAACGGAUAUGAUAUGGGAAGGUUGAGCUGUUGUUUAUCUAUUCCUAGAGAUGCUAGAAUUCUGGAGAAUUUUAUCUUUGAAAAAUCUUUAAAAUAUUGCAUGAUGAGUUACUGUAUGAUGAGAGUUUAAAUUCCAACCACAGCCAUAUAUACAUGCUUGCUAGACUUUGAGCCACACAUUUAUUAUUUACUGCUUAUGAGCAUUGAGUGUGGUCAAGCUGUGUAGACCCUUAGGAGCUUGUCAUGUGGUUAAAUCAAGAUUCACUUGCACAUUCACUCAUAUAUGCUACUUCUACUCUGGAAGUACCAUCCACAUAUAUCCAUCCAUUUUCAUCUCCAGAAUCACCUAAAAAUAUUCUACUCCUAAUUCGGGAGAGAAUAGCCAAAAACAUCUGUGUUUUUCCCUUGUGAAAUAAAUGCUCAACUUAUCUUGCUACUACCACUUGCUAUAUUAUCUUAAGAGAUGAGUGCUCUGAAAAAAGAAGAAAAAAAAAGAGAGAAAAGAAAAAAAAAAUAUAAACGAGGAAAUAAAAAGGGGCAAGUGCCCGGAACCUCGAAAGAAAAGAAAAAGAGUGAGACGAGAGGUAAAAAUGGACAAGUGUCCGACAGUAGAAUUAGGGGUACAGGAUACCCAUCUGAGAGAAAAGAAAAAGAAGAGCAUCUCAUUCUCCUCAUAAAGUUUCAAAAAAGCAAGGAAGGUAUGUAUCCCCUCAAAAGAGCAAAAGUAGAAUUAGACUUUCACCAUUGUUAUCACCAUCAUCACCAUACACUAUUCAUUCGCCACACAUGCACAUCUUGAUUUGGCUUAUUGAUUUGUUUCUUUGGAUCCAUGGUUUGACUAUACAAUAAAUGUCUUGUAAGUAUGUACAUUUUAUCUCCCACCUAUGAGCUCCAGAUAUUAAAGCCUUAUUAGAGUAGGGUGAGAGAGAAGACAAUGUCACUAUCCCUUAUACCACAAAUACCACAUAUUUUGAGAGAAGGCAUAUACCAUCACUGCCUUGGUAAGGAUCCAGAAAUACCACAAAAGAGAGAUAUGAGAGAGUCAUACAAAGGAAUCUCUGAGUUUUAUUUGAAAAUCUGCAAAAACUCCAGAGCUAUAGCUGAUCAAGAAUAAGUGACAUGGCACUUGACUGGACUGUUCUAUCUUUUAACCACUCAAGACAGAAGUGACGGUUACAAGUCCCAUGGUGAAAGGUAAAGUAAGUAAGUUUUAAGUCUUGAUAGUUUACUCUAACUCAGAGAUGAGACCUCAUUUAAAAGCAUGUGUACCGUCAAUUUUUAAAGAUAUUGCAACAACUUAUGAUCCAUAGCUGAGUCUAUCCUUGCUUAGGGACGAGCAAGAGGUAAGCUUGGGGGAGUUUGUUGACGGUCCUUAAGUAUCAAAUUUAACUAUCAAAUAAACAAAGAAAAGGAUCCAAAUGAAAUCAACAUCGAGACUUAGGGUUUUAUCUGACAGAAUUCCACGAGUUUUGGUGUUUGUCUAUUUCUGCAGGGGGUUAUCAGGAAAUAAGGAAGAAAGGCCCACACGUCGGGAUUACAUAGAGAUAUCAACGUGCCGCGCAAUUAUCUUACAUCUAGAAGACUCCAGAAGCCACAGGAAGGAAGCGGAGACCGAACGGAGUCAGGGACAGGGCGCCCGCCCAAGUCCUUAGGGCGCCCGCCCACCUUUUUCGGCCAAUCACGCUCAAUCUCGCGGAUUAUGCUCCACCGACCUAAAGGAUCAAGAAUAACCGUUCAAUCAAUGUCGGUUUGAUCCGACGGCCCAGGUUCACUUGAGGGGACUAUAAAACCAGACCCCCUGGCCCCUGGAGGAGGCACCCCCUUGAUCAUUAUUCAUUAUUCAUAGACAGAGCAAAAGCUAGGGUUUAGAGAUGAGAGCUCUCCUCUCUUCUCUAAACUAGAGUAGAUCUAGAUAGUAGCGAGAUGGAGAGCGGAGGAU
rnacentral:lncRNA from 1 species